rnacentral:rRNA from 1 species
GCAUUUUCCUCGCAUGAGGGAGAUGAGAAAGGCGGAGCAAUCUGCCACUUAUGGAUGGACCUGCGGCGCAUUAGCUAGUUGGUAAGGUAACGGCUUACCAAGGCGACGAUGCGUAGCCGACCUGAGAGGGUGAUCGGCCACACUGGGACUGAGACACGGCCCAGACUCCUACGGGAGGCAGCAGUAGGGAAUCUUCCGCAAUGGACGAAAGUCUGACGGAGCAACGCCGCGUGAGUGAUGAAGGUUUUCGGAUCGUAAAGCUCUGUUGCCAGGGAAGAACGCCUAGGAGAGUAACUGCUCCUAGGGUGACGGUACCUGAGAAGAAAGCCCCGGCUAACUACGUGCCAGCAGCCGCGGUAAUACGUAGGGGGCGAGCGUUGUCCGGAAUUAUUGGGCGUAAAGCGCGCGCAGGCGGCAAUGUAAGUUGGGUGUUUAAACCUAGGGCUCAACCUUGGGUCGCAUCCAAAACUGCAUAGCUUGAGUACAGAAGAGGAAAGUGGAAUUCCACGUGUAGCGGUGAAAUGCGUAGAUAUGUGGAGGAACACCAGUGGCGAAGGCGACUUUCUGGGCUGUAACUGACGCU